rnacentral:rRNA from 1 species
GUAGGUGGCAAGCGUUGUCCGGAAUUAUUGGGCGUAAAGCGCGCGCAGGGCGGUCCUUUAAGUCUGAUGUGAAAGCCCACGGCUCAACCGUGGAGGGUCAUUGGAAACUGGGGGACUUGAGUACAGAAGAGGAAAGCGGAAUUCCAAGUGUAGCGGUGAAAUGCGUAGAGAUUUGGAGGAACACCAGUGGCGAGGGCGGCUUUCUGGUCUGUAACUGACGCUGAGGCGCGAAAGCGUGGGGAGCAAACAGGAUUAGAUACCCUGGUAGUCCACGCCGUAAACGAUGAGUGCUAAGUGUUAGGGGGUUUCCGCCCCUUAGUGCUGCAGCUAACGCAUUAAGCACUCCGCCUGGGGAGUACGGCCGCAAGGCUG